AAUUUUAUAGUUUAAGAUAAAAUAUUAAAUUGCAAGUUUAAAGAUGCCGUAAGGCUAAGAUUU
rnacentral:tRNA from 1 species